rnacentral:rRNA from 1 species
GAUGAACGCUGGCGGCGUGCCUAAUACAUGCAAGUCGAGCGAACAGACGAGGAGCUUGCUCCUCUGACGUUAGCGGCGGACGGGUGAGUAACACGUGGAUAACCUACCCAUAAGACUGGGAUAACUUCGGGAAACCGGAGCUAAUACCGGAUAAUAUAUUGAACCGCAUGUUCAAUAGUGAAAGACGGUUUUGCUGUCACUUAUAGAUGGAUCCGCGCCGCAUUAGCUAGUUGGUAAGGUAACGGCUUACCAAGGCGACGAUGCGUAGCCGACCUGAGAGGGUGAUCGGCCACACUGGAACUGAGACACGGUCCAGACUCCUACGGGAGGCAGCAGUAGGGAAUCUUCCGCAAUGGGCGAAAGCCUGACGGAGCAACGCCGCGUGAGUGAUGAAGGUCUUCGGAUCGUAAAACUCUGUUAUUAGGGAAGAACAAAUGUGUAAGUAACUAUGCACGUCUUGACGGUACCUAAUCAGAAAGCCACGGCUAACUACGUG